rnacentral:tRNA from 1 species
GCUCCGGUAUCCCAAUUCGGCAGAGGAACACGCCUCAGAAGCGUGUCAGUGUCGGUUCAAAUCCGACUCGGAGUACCA